rnacentral:rRNA from 1 species
UACGAAGGGGGCUAGCGUUGUUCGGAAUUACUGGGCGUAAAGCGCGCGUAGGCGGUGAUCUUUGUCAGAGGUGAAAUCCCGAGGCUCAACUUCGGAAUUGCCUUUGAAACGGGAUUGCUUGAGUCCGAGAGAGGAUGGCGGAAUUCCUAGUGUAGAGGUGAAAUUCGUAGAUAUUAGGAAGAACACCGGUGGCGAAGGCGGCUCUCUGGACCGAGACUGACGCUGAGGCGCGAAAGCGUGGGGAGCAAACAGG